CACCCAACAACUCGGUGUUCUGACUGCUGUGUGGUGUUCUGUCCCUGCUGGGUUGUGUUCUGACUCUGUCGCGUGGUGUUCUGUCCCCCCUGCUGUGUGGGUGGGGCCGAGACGGGCUGUGGCCCCUGUGUCAGGAAGCGGUCCUGGACCUGUGUCAGGAAGGAGAAGGAGGACCCGCUUCUCCACAACCUGGCGGAGAAGGAGAUGCAGCCACAGAGAAGUGGGCGGGGAGUGGCCUGGAGACAUGGCCCCCAGGAGCAGAUGGGAGCAGAGUGCAGUGUGCUGUUUCAUCGUUUCCCAAAAGGGAAGAUGGAUAUUCUGAGAAAAUUGUCAAGUAUUGAGAAAGGCACUAAACCGAAACUCUGACCAGCUUUACAAUAGCAGAAGAGAAAUCUGUCACCAGCUGAAGACUUGAGACUGCUUUUACGGCUGAGGCCCAUGGAACUCAGCUGCCACAUCUCCAGUUUUCAUCUCCUCACUAGGCCACAACUCAGCCUUCCUGGUGGUGCUGCUGCCGAUCUGUUACCUGCUGCACUGCUGGGAUCUGGCGUUGACCACAAGCAGAGGAAUUGCCGAUUACAAGGAUCACCAUAUAUUUUCUGGACCCCGCAUGUUCUGUAACUGGAAUGGACAUGGUCUCGCUCACGCUCUAACCACCGAUGAAGCCAGGAGACCACAGCAAUGGACAGAUCGCCUAAGACUUAGCCCCUAUGGAAGCAGAGCUAAGACAAUAACCUAAGACUUACAGGUCUUAUUCUAGUUGUGUGGAUACAUAUGUAUUUUAUUAACACCUAAUACACGCUUGUUGAAGAAAAAUUAGAAAAUUCACUUGAGUGAGAAUCACACAUAAAAUACAACGAGUCUCCCACUACCGGGAGAGCCACUGCCGACACUUCAGUGUGUUCCUUCCACCCCUCCAUCCACACCCAGCCCUGCGCAGAUGGACUCAAGUUUGGACAAUGCACCUGUGACUUCUCACUUCCGUAUUUAAUAAUAAAAUGUAGGCUGAUGCAGACUCAGCCCAUCCACAGCAUUAACCACACGGCCUGUUCAUGCUAAUAAGCACACUUCUACAACGCCACAUUUGUGGCUUCACAAUAUUAUUAUUUAAGCUGAAUUUCCUUAAUUGUUGCCCUAGGAUAUAUGCCUUGAAAUAAUAGUUCUGGGUAAAGAGUUGGAUCUUCUCCCAAGGCUUUCACUGUGCCCUAACAAAUUGUCCUGCAGAGACUGCACCCGCGUCCGAGUGUCCGCUCAAACUCUAGCCAGCGCUGGGGAUUACUGUAUUCCCAAUAUUCUCCAUUUUCAUAGUCAAAAAGAACCGUUUUUAAAAACAACAUUUCUUCUAGCAUUUUCAAUAGCCUUAUUUUAAACUGCAAAGCAGAAGUAGUAUAACUAAAUAAAAACAAAUUAAGGGAAACGGCAAGGAUGUAGGGUUUGGAAAU